rnacentral:tRNA from 1 species
UGGGUAUGUAGCUUAAUAGGUAAAGCCUCAAUUUGUCGAGUUGGAAAAUGCGGGUUCGACCCCCGUCAUGCCCGU